rnacentral:misc_RNA from 1 species
GUUGAUACUUAGAAGUAACGACAGUAGUUUAGUAGUAGUGAUAUUAUUAUUUUAAUAGUAAACUUAUUUUGGAAGAAAGCUAUAAACAACGAAAGCGAAAAAUGAUGCAGUAUAUUUAAUAUUUUGAAUAAUGAAUUAAGAUAAGCGACGAGAACAUCAGGGUUAAAUGGGUUGAAUUAAUACAGCGCGUAAUCCAUUGUGAUUUUUCAAGUUUUUUGGUAUUUACACAUCUGUUAAAUUAUAACGAACGAGAAAUAAUAUGACUGACUGGGUGUAAACUUAUUCCUAAAGGUGAUGAAGCCUGAAUUAUUGUUAGCCUGAGUUAAGUUGGGUUUUCGAAGAACCUGACCAAUGGUGGAUGGAAGUUUGGCAACACAAUGGAAAAUUCUGCCAGG